rnacentral:rRNA from 1 species
GACAGCAGUAGCCACGGGAAUACGGAGGGUGCAAGCGUUAAUCGGAAUUACUGGGCGUAAAGCGCACGCAGGCGGUUUGUUAAGUCAGAUGUGAAAUCCCCGAGCUUAACUUGGGAACUGCAUUUGAAACUGGCAAGCUAGAGUCUUGUAGAGGGGGGUAGAAUUCCAGGUGUAGCGGUGAAAUGCGUAGAGAUCUGGAGGAAUACCGGUGGCGAAGGCGGCCCCCUGGACGAAGACUGACGCUCAGGUACGAAAGCGUGGGGAGCAAACAGGAUUAGAUACCCGCGUAGUCCCUGUCUCUUAUAC